CCACAACAAAAGACUGAUCACUGGAUGAUAAAUAUUAGCCAAUAAAUUUUAAUAUUACCCUAAGUAAGGAAACAAAAGUGAGCAUAUAUGCAAAGAUCAGUGACAUGCUGCAACUCUUUAAAUUAUUUUUCCAGUAAAGAACUCUGAAAUUUUGUAAUAGGGGUAAGAAGGUAAUCUACAACACCAAAUAGAUUUUAUAUACUCAUAUGGAUGGAAGGAACCUGGAAAAGUUAUCUACACCUUCCUUGUUUCCAGAUAAGAUUAUGUAAGUCUUAUGUAACAGAAAGAAAAGCUAUUUUUGCUAACUGUUAAGAGUUCUGGCAAAAGCAAAUAUUGUAAGCCCCUCUUCAUCAGCCUCUAAGAUGGUCAAUGAUCUUCACAUCCCUGUGUGGGCCUCUCCCAUAGUCAAUGAAGUCGAUAUGUGUAAACAAUAGGACAUGACAGAAAUGUCUGUGAGAUUUCCAAGGCUAGGUCACAAAAGGCAUUGCUACUUCUGUCCUCAUCUCUUUUGAAUCACUUGCUCUGGGGAAAGCCAAAUGACACGUCUUGAGGAAACCCAAGCAGUCCUAUGAAGAGGCUCAUGUGGUCUUCUUCCAAGAAACCCUCCCUCACCACCAGAACCACCAAUGCACAUCAGGCCUGCCUGGCUUCAGUUCUCAUCAUACUGAUUAUUUCUUGUUUGUAGCAAUUAUUAUAUUGAGGAUUAGUCAACUAUCUCUGCCAAUCUCCACUAAACUCACACAUCAGCUCCUAUGAUUAAAAUCCAACCUGCUCAUUGAAGCUGCUUCUUCAGCUCUUGCCUGGAGUAAACAGAAGCCAGAGGGGGCCUGAAAACAGUCCCAAAGAUGCCAUCAGAGUCAGCCUCCAAGGAAGAACCCUGACCACUGACACAGUGUAUCCUAAUGAAAUGGGGAAAAAUGCAAAAAACUUUCCACCACUGCUUGGCAGAAUAA
rnacentral:lncRNA from 1 species